CCCUUAGAUGUUCUGGGCCGCACGCGCGCUACACUGACGAAGUCAGCGAGCAUGUCCUACGCCGACAGGUGCGGGGAAUCUUGUCAAACUUCGUCGUGAUGGGGAUUAAUUAUUGAAAUUCUUGAUCAUCAACGAGGAAUUCCUAGUAAGCGCAAGUCAGCAGCUUGCGUUGAUUACGUCCCUGCCCUUUGUACACACCGCCCGUCGCUACUACCGAUUGAAUGGUUUAGUGAGAUCUUCGGAUUGGCGCCACUGCGGCUCAGCAAUGGGCUCGGUGGAUGCCGAAAAGUUGAUCAAACUUGAUCAUUUAGAGGAAGUAAAAGUCGUAACA
rnacentral:rRNA from 1 species